rnacentral:rRNA from 1 species
AGCAGCCGCGGUAAUUCCAGCUCCAAUAGCGUAUAUUAAAGUUGUUGCAGUUAAAAAGCUCGUAGUUGAAUUUCGGGGUCAGUAGGAUGGUCGUGCCAAUGGUAUGUACUGGCUUUACUGAUUCCUCCUUCUUGAAGAACUGUAAUGCCAUUAAUUUGGUGUUGCAGGGAAUCAGGACUGUUACUUUGAAAAAAUUAGAGUGUUUAAAGCAGGCUUACGCUUGAAUACAUUAGCAUGGAAUAAUGAAAUAGGACGUUGAUCUUAUUUUGUUGGUUUCUAGGAUUGACGUAAUGAUUAAUAGGGAUAGUUGGGGGCAUUAGUAUUCAAUUGCCAGAGGUGAAAUUCUUGGAUUUAUUGAAGACUAACUACUGCGAAAGCAUUUGCCAAGGAUGUUUUCAUUAAUCAAGAACGAAGGUUAGGGGAUCGAAGACGAUCAGAUACCGUCGUAGU